UGGGGAAUUUUGGACAAUGGGCGAAAGCCUGAUCCAGCAAUGCCGCGUGUGUGAAGAAGGCCUUCGGGUUGUAAAGCACUUUUGUCCGGAAAGAAAUCCUUGGCUCUAAUACAGUCGGGGGAUGACGGUACCGGAAGAAUAAGCACCGGCUAACUACGUGCCAGCAGCCGCGGUAAUACGUAGGGUGCAAGCGUUAAUCGGAAUUACUGGGCGUAAAGCGUGCGCAGGCGGUUUGCUAAGACCGAUGUGAAAUCCCCGGGCUCAACCUGGGAACUGCAUUGGUGACUGGCAGGCUAGAGUAUGGCAGAGGGGGGUAGAAUUCCACGUGUAGCAGUGAAAUGCGUAGAGAUGUGGAGGAAUACCGAUGGCGAAGGCAGCCCCCUGGGCCAAUACUGACGCUCAUGCACGAAAAGCGUGGGGAGCAAAACAGGAUUAGAUACCCCUGGUAGUCCACGCCCUAAACGAUGUCAACUAGUUGUUGGGGAUUCAUUUCCUUAGUAACGUAGCUAACGCGUGAAGUUGACCGCCUGGGGAGUACGGUCGCAAGAUUAAAACUCAAAGGAAUUGACGGGGUCAUAGCUGUUUCCU
rnacentral:rRNA from 1 species